rnacentral:rRNA from 1 species
GAUAAACGCUGGCGGCGCACAUAAGACAUGCAAGUCGAACGGACUUAACCAUAAGUUUACUUUUGGAGCGGUUAGUGGCGGACUGGUGAGUAACACGUAAGCAACCUGCCUAUCAGAGGGGAACAACAGUUAGAAAUGACUGCUAAUACCGCAUAUGCCAUAAUCACCACAUGGUGGUAGUGGGAAAGGAGCAAUCCGCUGAUAGAUGGGCUUGCGUCUGAUUAGAUAGUUGGUGGGUAACGGCCUACCAAGUCGACGAUCAGUAGCCGGACUGAGAGGUUGAACGGCCACAUUGGGACUGAGAUACGGCCCAGACUCCUACGGGAGGCAGCAGUCGGGAAUAUUGCGCAAUGGAGGAAACCCUGACGCAGCAACGCCGCGUGAAGGAAGAAGGCCUUCGGGUUGUAAACUUUUGUUCGCAAGGAGAAGACAGUGACGGUACCUUGUGAGAAAGCCACGGCUAACUACGUAG